rnacentral:rRNA from 1 species
UACGAAGGGGCUAGCGUUGCUCGGAAUCACUGGGCGUAAAGCGCACGUAGGCGGACUCUUAAGUCGUGGUGAAAAAUCCUGGAGCUCAACUCCAGAACUGCCUUCGAUACUGAGAGUCUUGAGUCCGGGGAGAGGUGAGUGGAAAACUGCGAGUGUAGAGGUGAAAAUUCGUAGAUAUUCGCAAAGAAACACCCAGUGGGCGAAAGGGCGGCUCACUGGCCCGGGUACUGACGCUGAGGGUGGCGAAAG